rnacentral:lncRNA from 1 species
CUUCACUCACUACUUGUCCCCCAGAUUUGUUUCAUUCCCCUAGAAAAAUAAAAUAUUAUUCCUUUGUCCUUUUGGCCAGACCUACAGCAGGAGUAAGCCUGCAGCAAUAUUCACGAACUGAACUCUGGAAGUCCAUCCAGCCUUCAUACUCUGCAGACUGCAAGCAGAUGUUUCUAAGCAAGGCUAAUCGAAAGUGGAAGGAAGGGGGAGAAGGAGAAUCAGAAAUAAAGUCAACUUAUGGGAAGAACACUCGUUUCAAGGCAAGGAGGCUUCCUUAGCAGGUACUGAUCUGUCAUUUGCACCCAAUAGUCUGCGUUUUCCUCACUGACUUCAAGUCCCA